UGUGUACUGGGGAAAGAAGAACAGAGGAAAGAAGAAUAGUGAGCUCGUCGAUGCAAUAUCAGUCCAAAAGCGGAGAAGAAUUGUAAAUUAGCCACAGGGGUAAUUGUGUCUUUUCGCAUGGAGAAAAAAGGGAUACAAAAUCGAAAAUGAUUACAGUAAUUGGAAAGGGCAAAUCAUCAAAAGAAAAAUGAAAAGUGGGGCAAAUGAUCUAAUCCUAUGUAAAAUGGGGCAAAUCAUUUAAUGCCCAAGUAAAGUGGGGCAAAUGAUCCAAUCUCCCAAAAGUUGCGAGCUAGGUCUCCUCUUCCGAUCCCGUCGGCUCGCAUUUCCCCUCUCUCCGCCGCUCUCUCUCCCAUCCGCUGCCGCAUCUCCUCUUCGCCGGUGCCAAGGAGAAGAACAAGAGAUCAGCUAGCUAGAGGAAGAAGAACAAGAGAGACAACCUAGUUUUGUUUUGUAUUUGUGCUGUUGGGAUCAAGAGAUCAGCUAGCUAGAGCAGAUAUACAGUAAAAAGUGCCUUUGGAGGUCGGAGCUAGCUGUUCUGUGUGUAUGUAUGCAAAAUAUAGGACCUCAUGAAUGUUGACAAUGGAGUACACAUAGUAGUACAUGGAUUUUCAUUUGUUUUCUUUCCCUGUUUAGCUGCCUCUUUGAUUCAAAGGAUCUUCAUAUGAAAUUUGCAAGAGUCAGGAUAUUAUGAUUUCUUAUCUA